rnacentral:tRNA from 2 species
CUGAUAGCUCAGCUGGUUAGAGCACUCGGCUGAUAACCGAGAGGUCGAUGGUUCGAGUCCAUUUCAGC